rnacentral:rRNA from 1 species
UUGUAAGUAAUGAAGAGCGUACGGUGGAUGCCUUGGCACCAGGAGCCGAUGAAGGACGUAGGAGGCUGCGAUAAGCCUCGGGGAGCUGUCAACCGAGCUGUGAUCCGAGGAUGUCCGAAUGGGGAAACCCAGCACGAGUGAUGUCGUGUUACCCGCGCCUGAAUAUAUAGGGCGUGUGGAGGGAACGUGGGGAAGUGAAACAUCUCAGUACCCACAGGAAGAGAAAACAACCGUGAUUCCGUGAGUAGUGGCGAGCGAAAGCGGAAGAGGCUAAACCAUGGGUGUGUGAUAGCCGGCAGGUGUUGCAUUCGUGGGGUUGUGGGGUUCAUUUUGUCUGUUCUGCCGAGCAGGCCAACAGUAAGAAAUCACAGGGUUAGUGGAAGUGGUCUGGAACGGCCUGUCGUAGAGGGUGAGAAUCCCGUACACGAAAACUUUGUGACUGUUGUAAUGGAAACCCAAGUAGCACCGGGCCCGUGAAAUCUGGUGUGAAUCUGUCGGGACCACCCGAUAAGCCUGAAUACUCCCUGGUGACCGAUAGCGGACUAGUACCGUGAGGGAAAGGUGAAAAGUACCCCGGGAGGGGAGUGAAAUAGUACCUGAAACCGUGCGCUUACAAUCCGUCAGAGCCUUCGAACAGUUUACUGUUGGGGGUGAUGGCGUGCCUUUUGAAGAAUGAGCCUGCGAGUUAGUGGCAUGUCGCGAGGUUAACCCGUGUGGGGUAGCCGUAGCGAAAGCGAGUCCGAAUAGGGCGAUCGUAGUGGCAUGCUCUAGACCCGAAGCGGAGUGAUCUACCCAUGGCCAGGUUGAAGCGACGGUAAGACGUCGUGGAGGACCGAACCCACUUAGGUUGAAAACUGAGGGGAUGAGUUGUGGGUAGGGGUGAAAGGCCAAUCAAACUCCGUGAUAGCUGGUUCUCCCCGAAAUGCAUUUAGGUGCAGCGUCGCGUGUUUCUCACCGGAGGUAGAGCUACUGGAUGGUCUAGGGGGCCCACAAGCUUACCGAAAUCAGCCAAACUCCGAAUGCCGGUGAGUGAGAGCGCGGCAGUGAGACUGCGGGCGAUAAGGUUCGUAGUCGAGAGGGAAACAGCCCAGAUCGCCAGCUAAGGUCCCUAAGCGUGUACUAAGUGGAAAAGGAUGUGGGGUCGCGAAGACAACCAGGAGGUUGGCUUAGAAGCAGCCACCCUUGAAAGAGUGCGUAAUAGCUCACUGGUCAAGUGAUCCUGCGCCGACAAUGUAGCGGGGCUCAAGUACACCACCGAAGCUGCGGCAUUCACGCAAUAGCCCCCAGUUGAUCCAAGGAUUUUCUGGCAGGUGUGUGGAUGGGUAGGGGAGCGUCGUGUGGCCAUGGAAGCGGCAGGGUGACCUAGCCGUGGAGGCCACACGAGUGAGAAUGCAGGCAUGAGUAGCGAAAGACGAGUGAGAAACUCGUCCGCCGAAUGACCAAGGGUUCCUGGGCCAGGUUAAUCCGCCCAGGGUGAGUCGGGACCUAAGACGAGGCCGACAGGCGUAGCCGAUGGACAACGGGUUGAUAUUCCCGUACCCGUGUGAACGCGCCCAUGGUGAAUCAGUGAUACUAACCAUCCUGAAGCCACGAGAAGACCUUCGGGUCUCGAGUUGGUGGAUGCAUGGGACCUGAUCUGGUAGUAGCCAAGCGAUGGGGUGACGCAGGAAGGUAGCUGAGCCAGUCAGUGGUAAUACUGGUGUAAGCGUGUAGGGCGUGACCUAGGCAAAUCCGGGUCACAUAUAGCCUGAGACGUGAUGCGUAGCCGAUUGAGGCGAAUUCAGUGAUCCUAUGCUGCCGAGAAAAGCCUCUAGCGAGCUUUCACACGGCCCGUACCCCAAACCGACACAGGUGGUCAGGUAGAGAAUACUAAGGCGAUCGAGAUAACUAUGGUUAAGGAACUCGGCAAAAUGCCCCCGUAACUUCGGGAGAAGGGGGGCCCUGUUUGGUGACGACAUUUACUGUCUGAGCUGGGUGGGGCCGCAGAGACCAGUGAGAAGCGACUGUUUACUAAAAACACAGGUCCGUGCGAAGUCGUAAGACGAUGUAUACGGACUGACGCCUGCCCGGUGCUGGAAGGUUAAGAGGACCGGUUAGUUCCUUCGGGAGCGAAGCUGAGAAUUUAAGCCCCAGUAAACGGCGGUGGUAACUAUAACCAUCCUAAGGUAGCGAAAUUCCUUGUCGGGUAAGUUCCGACCUGCACGAAUGGCGUAACGACUUCUCAGCUGUCUCAACCGUAGACUCGGCGAAAUUGCAUUACGAGUAAAGAUGCUCGUUACGCGCGGCAGGACGAAAAGACCCCGGGACCUUCACUACAGCUUGGUAUUGGUGUUCGGUUCGGUUUGUGUAGGAUAGGUGGGAGACUGUGAAACGGUGACGCCAGUUAUCGUGGAGUCGUUGUUGAAAUACCACUCUGAUCGAAUUGGACCUCUAACCUCGGACCAUGAUCUGGUUCAGGGACAGUGCCUGGUGGGUAGUUUAACUGGGGCGGUUGCCUCCCAAAAUGUAACGGAGGCGCCCAAAGGUUCCCUCAGCCUGGUUGGCAAUCAGGUGUCGAGUGCAAGUGCACAAGGGAGCUUGACUGUGAGACUGACAGGUCGAGCAGGGACGAAAGUCGGGACUAGUGAUCCGGCACCGGCAAGUGGAAGCGGUGUCGCUCAACGGAUAAAAGGUACCCCGGGGAUAACAGGCUGAUCUUCCCCAAGAGUCCAUAUCGACGGGAUGGUUUGGCACCUCGAUGUCGGCUCGUCGCAUCCUGGGGCUGGAGUAGGUCCCAAGGGUUGGGCUGUUCGCCCAUUAAAGCGGCACGCGAGCUGGGUUUAGAACGUCGUGAGACAGUUCGGUCUCUAUCCGCCGCGCGCGUUAGAAACUUGAGGAAGGCUGUCCCUAGUACGAGAGGACCGGGACGGACGAACCUCUGGUGUGCCAGUUGUUCCGCCAGGAGCACCGCUGGUUAGCUACGUUCGGAAGGGAUAACCGCUGAAAGCAUCUAAGCGGGAAGCCUGUUCCAAGAUGAGGUUUCUCACCCCCUCGAGGGGGUAAGGCCCCCGGCAGACCACCGGGUUGAUAGGCCAGAACUGGAAGUGCAG